AAGCUCUCUGAUUAAAAGCUCUUGGUGGCAUUUUCCAUGUUUAAACUCGGAGUACCUUGGAACGACAUUUUGAAGACUGCCAGUACUUCAGCAGAUUGUUCUUGCCUUUCAUGUAGCAUUUUGCUGUUGUCCCACUGAAAUUACAGCCUUUGCUGUUCUUGAAGAUGCCGGACAAGGAAGAAAUCCAGCUUGGCUUUGGAGUCGCUUUGCUUUUGCAUGAGUUGGAAACCAACAUACCCCUCCUCUCCACAGAGGGUUGUUUUUUUGUUUGAUUUUUUUGGUGGGGCGAUAUAGAUGUUAAAGUACAUCUUGCAUCCCUUUUCAUAGUAAAAGAUAGCAUGAAAAAUGGGGAGAGCUAAGGAGGAAAAGGAUGUAAAAUAGUGUAAAAGGAAUGAAUCUGACCUGUAAACCUACUCUGUGCAAGAGAGCUCUGCUAAACCUGCGGUUAGGAGGCACAGACUUAGUCUUUUCCUCAGAUAAUGAGCACUUGAGAGGAGGAUAUAAAUAUUGGCUAUGCAGUUCUUCCCUUUGAUGUCUGGGGCAUCAUGGGUAAAAUUCUGAAGGGCUCAUUGCUUUCUGGAAGGAUUACUAUGCUUGUUGAAUUAGUUCGUCUCUAACGAAAAUAAAUAGAAGAUAAUAGAUUGAAAUACCCAAGCAGUGUGGUUGAUUCUCUGUACCCAUCCACCUACUCAUGCUGUUAUGAGUACAGGUUUUACAUGCACUUCCCCUUUAAUACACUGUUAUUUCUUUCUUAUUUGAGUUCUUUUAUGCUUUAUUUUGUAAGCAUACAUGUAUUUAUAAACAUGAGGCAUAAGAUACUAAGGCUGGGAGCAGUAGGAGUGAGCCUGUGGCCAUAUUAAAUGUGAAUUUAUGCUGCAGCCAACGCUGCCAUCUGCUGGUAGACCCCCCCAAAUUCACUGUAUUUAAUAAGCGUACUAUGCCAUCUCUAAGAUCAAAUUCUGUCUUUAGGAACCAGGUGUCUGCAAUUAAGAAAAAAGUUCUACUCAAAACCCAUACAAUAUUAGUGUCUUGUCUUGA